CUUCCCAGACUCAGUGCUGAGGGGUCAGGGUGAUGUUAGGAAAGGGGUGAGGAGGGCUGCCCACGGAUUUCAUGCAGCAGUUCAGAUGCAAAGCCUGAGUGCCUGCCAUAGAUUAGGGCCUCCAGAGUGGGCGUCAUCAAAGCAGGGAAAGGGGAAGAGCAGGGAGAAGGUGCUUAUGGACAGAUGAGAGAGGAAGCCCAAGAGAUGGAGGUGGAAAUGAAUUACAGGUGUAGUGUUUCUUCUUCCAUCAGAAUCGUCGUCUUCUGUGGAAUCCUCCUCCAGUUCAGAGAGCAGUGAGGAUGCUAGGGUGGCUGUGAGAGAGGAUAAAGGGGAGUUAGUGGAGCUGACAACCUAUGGCCUGCUGCUCUGGGUGGGACAGCAAGUGUGUGAAGCAGGUCCAGAAGCCCCUUAACACAGGCUUGGAGGACCCUGGCCCAUGACGGUGGUCUCCAGGCAGCUUCAUGGGGGCGUCCUUCCCUUGGGAACACGUCUACAGGAGAGGGUGGUUGGUUCUGCAAAGUCAUGACCAUGACCAGGUCUGGGUAGGUGCCAAGUAAGACCCAGAAACUAUUGUGCACCAUUCCUGAGAGGCCAUGAGUAAAGAGACCAAGCUUUGACAUGUGGCAGCAGCAAAGGGAGGCAAGAGCAGGUUUUAUGGGAAAGGUCCUUAAAAUAGCCACCCAAGGAGUCGAGUGGUGAUGACAAACCCAGCCUACACUAAAGGCCUGUGGUCACAAUGUCUGUUCUUUUUAUUCAGAAACUACGAAAUGAGCAAAUCAUGCCUGUUGCCAAUGCAUCCCUUUCCUUGGUGGUUUUUUUAUUCACCUUCUUCUUUCUCCAGAGAACCAGGGGCAACACCCUGUUCCCAGGAGCCCUGUCCCACUGUUCCCUUCCUCUGUGCUGUUCCCUACCUGAAGAGAAUUCAUCCUCACUGCUGGAGUUGUCGAUGCUGUCUACACCCAAAUCUGUAGGAACUGAGACAGGAGCAAUGCUGUUAUGAGAGAGACUGCCUUACCUAUUCAUCCCAGUUCUAUUGAAAUGUCUAU